UCAAAGAAGCAAAUCGUCUCGAGCAUGACAAUAUGGCCAAGAAAGUCUCGGACGCCCUCAUUUACGCAGCAAGCUUCACACUAAAGGCUGGCAAGAUGGACCUCACCAAGGAUGUGCUAAAGCAGAUGGUAUCACCUCCAGAAAAAAACCCAGCCCUCGCAGAGCUGCAGCUAAAGUGCCUGCAAUGUGUUGUUGCACUCUGCCUCACAAAAUUUG